rnacentral:rRNA from 1 species
UACAGGGGGUGCAAACGUUGCUCGGAAUCAUUGGGCGUAAAGCGCGCGUAGGCGGUUGCUUAAGUCGGAUGUGAAAGCCCUUGGCUCAACUGAGGAAGUGCAUCCGAAACUGAGCAGCUUGAGUACGAAAGAGGGUCGCGGAAUUCCCGGUGUAGAGGUGAAAUUCGUAGAUAUCGGGAGGAACACCGGUGGCGAAGGCGGCGACCUGGGUCGAGACUGACGCUGAGGCGCGAAAGCGUGGGGAGCAAACAGG